rnacentral:lncRNA from 1 species
CACAUCCCAACCCCUGCAUGGGGAGGAGGAGGAGGAGGAGGAGCAGAGAUUUCGGUGCACUGUGAGCAUUGCAUGGAUGCAAAGCAAAGCCCAGCCCGGUAAUUGCAGGGCUAUGGGACAGGCUCUGUCCAGCUGCUUCGUAAAGACAUUUUUUAAGGGCUCGAGGAAAGUGACAUUAUUAAAGUGAGCAUGCUGAUUCCAGACAGCUCCCAAUUCAUCACCGUGACAGUGACAAACACGGCCUGGGGUUAUGCAGUUGACUAAAGAGAAUUCUCGAGCUUUACAUUUUUAAUGCUCCUCGCAUUUUCUCUGCUGCAGCAGAGUUUUAUCCAAAGGAUCUUCUCCCCUGAAUAGAAAGGGCAGCGUGGGGCUGUGAAGCAUGCCCGGCCCUUGCAAAUCAAGCAGGGUUUCUGUCAUCGCUGCCCAAGCUGGUUCAUUUAUUUUUUUAAUUAUUCCUUGCUCCUUCAGGAUCCUUUUUCCACCUUUUCAAGAAGAACAGGAGCUCCAGCCUCAGCUGGGCUGCCUCUAUUCUCUGGGGCUCAUUCAUCAUUGUCUGCUGCCUGAAUGGAAGGCAGAGGGUCAGCCUGAAAAGCCUCAGCGUUACAAACUCCUCCGGAUCUGUCAAUGGGUCCUUUCUGGGUGGGGGGGUCCUGGCAGCCCGACCGCCCAGAUGCUUUGUGUCUGCAGUGUGGGGACAAGGGUGGCACAGGGACAUGGGUGGCAUUGGGAUGUGGGUGGCACUGUGAUAUGGGUGGCACAGGGAUACGGGUGGCACAGGGAUGUGGGUGGCACAGGGAUGCAGUGGCAUGGGGCUGUGAGGGUGGGCACGAGGGGACCGAGCAGUGCUCAGCACAUCCUGCACAGACCCGUUCACCUGAUGGAUAACAGAUUGUUGGCCGUGGCGUUGCCAUGGUGGGGAGCCAGGCGAGGAUCUGGUGGUGCAUGGGGAUCCGGACUGAGUGCCUCAACCCAGGGGCUCCACCGUCCCCGUGGCGCUCAGCUCCAGCCCUUCUCUCCCAGAUCCCAUUCUUGGGCUCCUAACAAAAAGCAGUAGCACAAAGAGAGGCGCAGGGACCCACUGCUAUGCUGAGAGGCAUUCAGAGCCAGAGAGAGACUCAUUCAAGAGCCUGUUGUGGUUAUUUGUGAGCUCCAGAGGUAGCAGCAUUUCCUGUGGGGCUGCUCAGCAGGUACCCAGAUGGUUGGCAACAGCUGGGGAGGGGUGAGAGAAACAGAUUUUGCUCCU